rnacentral:rRNA from 1 species
UGCGUAGGCGGGUUCUUAAGUCAGAGGUGAAAUCCUGGAGCUCAACUCCAGAACUGCCUUUGAUACUGAGAGUCUUGAGUUCGGGAGAGGUGAGUGGAACUGCGAGUGUAGAGGUGAAAUUCGUAGAUAUUCGCAAGAACACCAGUGGCGAAGGCGGCUCACUGGCCCGAUACUGACGCUGAGGCACGAAAGCGUGGGAGCAAACA